rnacentral:rRNA from 1 species
ACGGAAGGCAGCAGUGGGGGAUAUUGGACAAUGGGGGCAACCCUGAUCCAGCGACGCCGCGUGAGUGAAGAAGUAUUUCGGUAUGUAAAGCUCUAUCAGCAGGGAAGAAAAAAUCAAAAUUGACUGUACCUGACUAAGAAGCCCCGGCUAACUACGUGCCAGCAGCCGCGGUAAUACGUAGGGGGCAAGCGUUAUCCGGAUUUACUGGGUGUAAAGGGAGUGUAGGCGGCUGCGCAAGUCAGAAGUGAAAGCCCGGGGCUUAACCCCGGGACUGCUUUUGAAACUGCGUAGCUAGAGUGCAGGAGAAGCAAGCGGAAUUCCUAGAGUAGCGGUGAAAUGCGUAGAUAUUAGGAUGAACACCGGUGGCGAAGGCGGCUUGCUGGACUGAGACUGACGCUGAGGCUCGAAAGCGUGGGGAGCAAACAGGAUUAGAUACCCUGGUA